GCACAUUCAAGAUAGCUCAGUCAGUAGAGCAUGAGACUCUUAAUCUCAGGGCCGUGGGUUCAAGCCUCACGUUGGGCA